UUCCCUAGAGGAUCAGGAUGGGUUGGUGACCACAGAAGUGCUUUGUUUUCUAUCUCCUGUAUUCAAGCUAUUGAUAUCCUGUCUCGGGAAGAGACCUGAUAUCAUACGCAGGAAUUAUGUUCAGCUUUUUUCAUCUGUGAAAACAUUAUGUGAACGUACUGAACUCAGUCACUACCACCAUGUCCUUCUUCCCCAGCACAGCAAACAUUCACAGACGAAAAGUGAGAGGAGGGCUUGCUCUACCAUGUUUCCAUCUCACAUGCCCUUAACCAUAAGGCCUGGUCAUAGGACACUUAAAUGAUGUCUGCUUUGAAAGGUCGCCAAGGACUUGACAUCCUCUAACCCAAUAAAUACUUUUGAGUUUCAAUGAAUUAUGCAAUCAGACAUGCCUUACUUAAGCAUACCUUCCAUUUUAAACCUUUGUAUUCUCUUGCAUUUUGCUGGUAUGAUUCUGGAAGUUUCUUCUAUCUCUCUUGUUUGGUGUGUGUGUGUAUCUUUUAGGUCCUUUGUAUUAUUGCUAAGAUUUUUUCCCAGACUUCUACUUUUUUUUAAAUUUUUUUCUUCCAGAAAGCACCAAUUGAUAUAUUUCCAGCUAUCUGAUGGUUGGAUCUUUAGGAACAAUCCUGAAUAUCAAUAAUGUUCCACUGGACGAUUUCACACUGAGGAGUGUUUGGGAAGCAUAUAUUGGACUCGGUAGGUUAUAUAAAAGUAGUGCCCCCCAAAUAAAACAUAAGAAGGGGACACAAAGUAAGGAGAUGUGGGGGUAUAUCUAGAAAGAGUUAGGAGGAGGCAUUGGGAGGUGAAUAUGAUCAGACACUGUAUGUAUGAAAGUCCCAAAGAAUUCAUAAAAGAACAGAAUUGAAGAAACAGAAAUAAACCCCCACACAUAUGGACACUUGAUCUUUGACAAAGAAGCCAAAACAAUACAGUAGAAAAAAAAAGAAAGCAUCUUCAACAAAUGGUGCUGGUCUAACUAGAGGCCUGCAUGUAGAAGAAUGCCAGUUGAUCCAUAUUUAUCAUCUUGUACAAAGCUCAAGUCCAAGUGGAUCAAGGACCUACACAUAAAACCAGAUACACUGAAUCUAAUAGAAGAGAAGGUGGGAAAUAUCCUUGAAUGCAUUGGCACAAGGGAAAAUUUCCUGGACAGAUCACCAAUGGGUCAGGCUCUAAGAUUAACAAUUUACAAAUGGGACCUCAUGAAACCGAAAAGCUUCUGUAAGGCAAAGGACACUAUCAAUAAGACAAAACAACAACCUACAGAUUGGGAAAGACCUUGACUAACCCUACAUCUGACUGAGAAUAUAUAUAUAUCCUCAAGAAGUUAGACUCCAGAACCCAAAUACCCAAAUAACCCAAUUUAAGAAUGGACUACAAAGCUAAACAGAAUUCUCAACUGAGGAGUCUUGAAUGGCCAAGAAACAUUUAAAGAAGUGUUCAGUGUUCUUAGACAUCAGGGAAAUGC
rnacentral:lncRNA from 1 species